rnacentral:rRNA from 1 species
CAGAAGCGGGGGAUAACACCUGGAAACAGAUGCUAAUACCGCAUAACAACUUGGACCGCAUGGUCCGAGCUUGAAAGAUGGCUUCGGCUAUCACUUUUGGAUGGUCCCGCGGCGUAUUAGCUAGAUGGUGGGGUAACGGCUCACCAUGGCAAUGAUACGUAGCCGACCUGAGAGGGUAAUCGGCCACAUUGGGACUGAGACACGGCCCAAACUCCUACGGGAGGCAGCAGUAGGGAAUCUUCCACAAUGGACGAAAGUCUGAUGGAGCAACGCCGCGUGAGUGAAGAAGGGUUUCGGCUCGUAAAACUCUGUUGUUAAAGAAGAACAUAUCUGAGAGUAACUGUUCAGGUAUUGACGGUAUUUAACCAGAAAGCCACGGCUAACUACGUGCCAGCAGCCGCGGUAAUACGUAGGUGGCAAG